rnacentral:rRNA from 1 species
UACGUAGGGGGCAAGCGUUGUUCGGAUUCAUUGGGCGUAAAGGGUGUGUAGGUGGCGCGCUAAGUCGGGUGUGAAAUUUCGGAGCUUAACUCCGAAACUGCAUUCGAUACUGGCGUGCUUGAGGACUGGAGAGGAGACUGGAAUUCAUGGUGUAGCAGUGAAAUGCGCAGAUAUCAGGAGGAACACCGGUGGCGAAGGCGGGUCUCUGGGCCUGUACUGACGCUGAGGAACGAAAGCGUGGGGGAGCGAA